rnacentral:tRNA from 1 species
GGCGAGAUAGCUCAGCUGGUAGAGCAACGGACUGAAAAUCCGUGUGUCGUCGGUUCAAUCCCGACUCUCGCCA